rnacentral:rRNA from 1 species
GGAUUAGAUACCCUGGUAGUCCACGCUGUAAACGAUGAGAACUAGAUGCUUGUUUGUUAAUUCAAGUGGGUAUCGAAGCUGACGCAUUAAGUUCUCCGCCUGGGGAGUACGGUCGCAAGAUUAAAACUCAAAGGAAUUGACGGGGGCCCGCACAAGCGGUGGAGCAUGUGGUUUAAUUCGAUGCAACGCGAAGAACCUUACCUACCCUUGACAUGCCAGGAAGCCAUCAGAGAUGAGGGUGUGCCCGCGAGGGAACCUGGACACAGGUGCUGCAUGGCUGUCGUCAGCUCGUGUCG